rnacentral:siRNA from 1 species
CGAAGUUGUAACUGAGGCUGC